ensembl:lncRNA
UGAGAUAAUUUUGACUAGAAAUAAGACAAAUAUACUUGGUAAGAUUUUGAGUUUUUGCAGUGUAGCAUUUUAUCACCUAGCCCUGCCUUCAGCUUGUUUGGCAAGUUUCUCAGAGACAUUACUGAUACAUUAAGUGGUUGAUGAUUUUCACACAAUGAGCAGGACAGAAGCAAUGAUAUGUUGAAGUGUGACGUUUUUUUCUGUACUUUUUAUUCUGUUAAAAUAUCUCUUUUUAUCCUAUUAGGUGAUCACAAAGACCACCCAAGAGACAAAGAAUGUAUUUGGAUCCCAGCAGCACUGCUUGUUGCCUGGAGUGAAGCUAUGUAAGCCCUUAGGAGAUGCUGAUGUUCUAGCAGACAGGAGGGAUCCCAGUGAGGCUGAGCAACAGAAGCCAGUCUCUGCCAGGGAAAACACAGAGCCUGUGAGGAGCAGUGGAGGUUCCAGCAGACAAGGUGAAAGCCAUAUCCCACCAGUUCUCCGUCACAGAAAGGGGGCUCAUUGCCCCGAGUCAGUGGACAGUCGGAGAGCUGUAACUACAAAAGCUGACCGUGAUGACUUUGAUUUUUGGUGGAGGGAGAACUGGGAGCUACGUGUGCUGCUGCUGCUAUGGUUACUGCUCUACUGUUUCUGGGUGUUGCCUCAGAUCGACCUGAAGACACUGCCCGACAUGCUGCUGAACCGCUGAACGCACACACACGCGCACAAGCACAGCUUCUCUGAGCUAUGAGGAAAAAUAAAAAACUUUAGGUUUUUUAACAUGCACAUGCUCAUACAGCCAACUGCCACCUUUUUAUGAAUCUACAUUAAGUGAAGAUAUUUAAAACCUGUAUAAUUUAAAACUACAAGAGCUUGUUUUCUGUGUUUUGGUUUUUAGCUUCUAGUGUGGCUUAAGCAGUUUAUGUGAGAGUGUAAAGGUCACUUGGGGAGGAAAAACAUUGCAGUCUUUUUAGAAAAAGAUCACACUUAUAUGAAAAUGAAGUUAAAAAUUUAAAGAUCAAAAUUUUACUGGUUUAAAAUAAACAAACCAGAUUCUGAAAAGGUUGGGACACUGUGUAAAAUGUAAGAAAAACCUAAACAGAAUUCUGUAAUCAGACAAACCAAAAUUUGAAAUUAAUUUUAAAUUAAUACAUCUGCUAGAAGAUUCUGGGGUAGCACUGGCGGUAUAGUUUUUAUGAGGCCUGCUGUCAUCAUGCACCCAACUGAUUUUUAGAUGAGGCUGGAAUCCUAAUUUGAUUUGAUAUCUAAAUUUAAUUAUUCACUUCUAACCUAAGAACAACAAAAUGUAGGUGUAAAAAGUGAAGAUAAAAAUGUCAGAUCUGAAUCCAUGAUCUGUUUUGGAUAAGUAGACUCUGACAUGGUUUGCUGAUCUGUUGCAGAGCCUAUCAUCUCAGCGAUUAAGGUUCCGGGUUGACUCGACACUAAUUUAGCUGCUUUUCAGUGUAAAAUGUGCCUAGGCUCAGACGCUGAAAUUCAGAUACCAAAAUGUUGUUUGACAUAAUUCAGAAUAAUAAUGACUUAAUCUGAGUCUGUGCACACAAUGUAAAUGUUCAGAACCUGCAGAUAGUCCAUGUUUAAGAACAACUCUAAAAUAUAUAUAAUAUAAAAUAUAUAGUUUGAGUGUCAAUGUCGUGAUAUGCUGUGCGGCAGGCAGGACCCUGGAGACAAAAGGAUAAACUCAAAAGGAUGUUUACUCCUGGAUGUCACGGAGACAAAGCUGGGCUCAAGGCAGAAGUGCAAAACUAGGAGACAGCAGAGAAAACACAGAGCGUGGGAGCAUGGACAACAAAACAUGAACUGAAGAAAACUGAGAUGACUGAAUGGCAAAAUAAGACAGGAAGUCAUGAAAACACCUACACUGAGGGAACGGGGAAGGCUAAGAAGAAUAAGUAUAAACCGAAUCACCAAAAGCAGAAUGAUAAUAAAAGAUAGACAUUAAUUGAAGCUUGUUUAUUAAAUUAUAAACAAAAACCCAGAAACUUCAGGACAUAAUCCAAACAUAAUUACAAGAACACUGAAAAUAUAGAUUUUAAAAAAAAAUUAACUGAGGAAAAAGAACAACAAACUGAAAACACUGACUCCAGGAACCAUGACACUUAAAGUCAUCUCAGCCCCACCUAGUGUUCACACAAAUUACAUGCGCUCCAAGUGUGACAGCUGACAAUAUUCCCAGUGUGCAACACACGGUAAAUGUUUUCAGGAAAUUUGCUGACAGCCUGACAGGAUUAUUGCCCAGGGUCAAAGACUUAGAAAGAUGGUGAGUAUAGAUCUGACUUUGAGUUUGUUAACCCUGAGAUGAGGGAAACUUUAUUAUCAACUCAGUUUUAGCUAAGCCUGCUUCCCAGAAGCUCAGUGUUCAUACAAACUGCCAUCAAUUUCAAGAUGAGCCAAUAUUUUUCUUAAAAUAAUUCCUAGUUUAAACCUUUAGUAUAUUUUCAGUUUUUUUUAAAUUGUGAAUAAAAUAUGGGUUUGUGAGAUUUGCAAAUCAUUGCUUUCUGUUUUUAAACACAUUUUGCACAGGAACCAAAAAAAGCUACAUUUCAAAAACACAUAGUAUCUUUGAGUUUUACAUGACUGCAAAAGAUCCUGCAACUUUAUUCUUGAAAUUUUAGUGCACUCAUAUUAGUCUUAAUAUUAAAAUAAAUGUAUUAACUUUCACAAAAAAGGGUUAUAGAUUAAAAGUUUUAAUAGAAAAAUAAAGGCUUUUUUGUUUUGUACAAAUAAGUCCUAUUUAUAAAGGCUGAAGAAGAAAGCUGCAGUUGUGCAAGUAAAACUGUAACAACAUCUAUGUAGGUGUAUGCUACAAUGCAUUUUUAAAUACAUUUAUCAGACAUUUGUUUUUAAGGCUUUAUGCAUUUCACAUGUCGAAUGUAUCAAAACAUUAGAUACUAUUUAAAAAUCAUUAAAUUAUUACAUUAAAACACAUCGUCCCCAUACAUUAAUUGCGUUGUUGUAACCUGUCCUGCCUGCCACAUCCACAGUUGGUGCAUUGUAAUGUACAUCUCCACAGAUGAGUCCAUGCAAUCAGAAAAACUUGACAGGCAUGGAGAUGUCCGCAUGAACCCAUGCACUCACUGUGUGAGAAAAAUGUCACUUGAAGCAGAUCCUGCUGCGUUAAUGUGACCUUUUGUCCACCACUGCUAUAUAGACCUUGUCACAUAUUAUUAGAAACCUUUAUUCAGGUGUCAAGCUCCAUAACAGCAUCAUGCUGUUUUGCAUCAUAGAUGUGAUGACCUUAAUAAACAUUGAAGGUUUUGAGUUACUAAUAUUUACAGUUAAGUUUUCAUUUUAAUUUGUAGUUGUAAUUUAUUUUUUUUCUAAUGAAUUCUUCUCUAUUGAAAUGCCAUUGUGUGAUGAAAAUGAACUUGUAAUUUGACAAAUUAUAAAUAAUUAUAAAAAUGAAAGUGUGUUGGUAAAAUCAAGCAUAUUUUCCUCUCUCAAAAGGCUUUUUCUUUUCACAUUUUCCCAUGUAGAGAUGCAGCUUUGUUCUUUAAAUCCAAACUUCAUCGUAUGUUAGACAAUGACUAUUACUAUUAAUAACAUCUUUAAUCAGAAAAUGGCACAUUUCUUAAAAUAUUACAUUCAUAUUUUUAUUCAACUGUGGCCUUGAUAUUUUGUUGCAUAUGUGCUUACAAAUGCACUAUUAUAUUUUUGUGGUUCAUCAUAACUGUACAGUAGACUUGAUUUGUACACAAAAAUACAUACUAUGGAUAACUGAAUGCAAAAUGUAAAGCCAUCUAAACCUGAUGAAGAUUUUAUGAAAUAAUGAGGGUGUUAUCAAGAAGUUCUUCAAAUCUGGUUCAAGAAGAAGGCGUCCUUGAAGGAUAUAUGAACUCAAUUUAAACCAAAAAGGUUGUUUGUUUUGUUUUGUUUUUUUUUAAAAAAAAAAAAAAAAAAAAAGAUUUCAGAAUGUUUUUGAUGGCACUUAGAAAAAUUGUAGGACAAUAUAUGUCAAAACUUUGGAAUACUGAGCUUCCGUACCAGC